CUCGUGUCGUGAGAUGUUGGGUUAAGUCCCGCAACGAGCGCAACCCUUGAUCUUAGUUGCCAUCAUUAAGUUGGGCACUCUAAGGUGACUGCCGGUGACAAACCGGAGGAAGGUGGGGAUGACGUCAAAUCAUCAUGCCCCUUAUGACCUGGGCUACACACGUGCUACAAUGGACGGUACAAAGAGCUGCAAGACCGCGAGGUGGAGCUAAUCUCAUAAAACCGUUCUCAGUUCGGAUUGUAGGCUGCAACUCGCCUACAUGAAGCUGGAAUCGCUAGUAAUCG
rnacentral:rRNA from 1 species